rnacentral:rRNA from 1 species
UACGUAGGGGGCAAGCGUUGUCCGGAUUUAUUGGGCGUAAAGAGCGUGUAGGCGGCCGUACAGGUCAGCUGUGAAAACCCGAGGCUCAACCUCGGGCCUGCAGUGGGUACGGGCAGACUAGAGUGCGGUAGGGGAGAUUGGAAUUCCUGGUGUAGCGGUGGAAUGCGCAGAUAUCAGGAGGAACACCAAUGGCGAAGGCAGAUCUCUGGGCCGUAACUGACGCUGAGGAGCGAAAGCAUGGGGAGCGAACAGG